GCAAGUCGAGCGGUAUUGUCUCUUCGGAACGNAGAGAGCGGCGCACGGGUGCGGAACACGUGUGCAACCUGCCUUUAUCUGGGGGAUAGCCUUUCGAAAGGAAGAUUAAUACCCCAUAAUAUUUUGAAUGGCAUCAUUUAAAAUUGAAAACUCCGGUGGAUAGAGAUGGGCACGCGCAAGAUUAGAUAGUUGGUAGGGUAACGGCCUACCAAGUCAGUGAUCUUUAGGGGGCCUGAGAGGGUGAUCCCCCACACUGGUACUGAGACACGGACCAGACUCCUACGGGAGGCAGCAGUGAGGAAUAUUGGACAAUGGGUGAGAGCCUGAUCCAGCCAUCCCGCGUGAAGGACGACGGCCCUAUGGGUUGUAAACUUCUUUUGUACAGGGAUAAACCUUUCCACGUGUGGAAAGCUGAAGGUAUUGUACGAAUAAGCACCGGCUAACUCCGUG
rnacentral:rRNA from 1 species